AAUGUUUCAGUGUUUGGAGAGCUGUAUAAGAGGACAGAGGGAGCUUUCCUCAAACAAAUUUCCCUCCAGUUUUUCCUCCAGCGGCGGCGGCGGCGGCGGCGGCGUGGAGGGAAGGGAGGAAAGAAUUAAGAAAAUUGAAGCCUUCUCUCAGACAUGAACAAAGAAGAGCAAUUCGUGACAAACAGGCAAACAAACAAACAAAACAAACAAGGACAGCGUUGAGUCUCGCAUGUCACGCCAGCCUCUCGGAAACUGUUGCUUGCUUCACCUGGCAAUUGUGAACCACCUAGCAAAAACCGAGCCACCCUAUUGAUCGACAGGGGAUCACCAUCAGCCCUCCCAUUGGCCCAGAGCUUCAUGGAUUGUGAUUGGACGGCUGGCUGGCUGACCUGACUUGACCUGACCUCAACUGAGCCAGCAUGAUUUACGUUUUCCUCGUUGACACGGGCACCAUGAUGACCUUUGACAUGAACCUGGCACUAGAGAGUGUUGAGGUGGUGAAGGGUGCAAUACACAAUGUUGUCAAGGUGCCCCCAGACAAGCAGGUGCUGCUGGCCUCUGGGUGAUGAAACACUGGACUCCUGCAAGCGGGUGUGUCAUUACUCGGCCGGCACAGACUCGUCUCCCAUCUUUCUGUUCUCCAAGGUGGCCAUUGAGGGAGCAGCCCCCCAACCCCCUCUGUGCAGCCUGGCAGGGACGGCGACCUCAGGGCACAGGUGGAGGGGUGCCUCAACAUGCCAGCCACCUACAACAGUGUGGUGGUGCGGACACAGUUAGCACAGCAGUUUUACGAGCACGCCAGUGAGGUCACCAGAACGUGCCGCCAACUUGUUCACAACCAGCUUCUGCAGCAACAAGGCUGGGCAGUAGUGGUGGGCAACUUGGAAGACGUUGUGGCAGCCUUCAGAGCAAGACAUGAUGCAUUCCAGCAAAACUUUGUAAUCUCAGUGGCCGGGAGGAGAAGGUCGCCCUGCUUUACUUUUUUGAAGAGGACCUGAAGCUACUGGCAAGGAUUCCAGUCUUCCCUGAACUCUUGGGGAAGACACAAGAGGAAGAGGAAGAGGAGGAAGCUGGGAAGAAGAGGAGGACAAGCACAGCACAGAAGAAAGAGGAGGAGGAAGAGAAGGAAGAUGAGGAGGAGGAGGAGGAAGAAGAGGAAGAGCAUGAGAAGGAGAAGAGGGCAGGAGGAGAAGGAGAAAAAAGAGAAACACAGCAGCAGACUCGGGUACUGUUACAGCUCUGCUCCCUCCUACAGGACACGUUCCCAUCACCUUCACGUCCUGGACACGUGCACAAACUUGUGCCUGGGCAGUCUCACUGCAGCAACUGCCAGUGCUGUGGCUGGG